rnacentral:tRNA from 1 species
GUGGUUCAGUGGUAGAAUUCUUGCCUUACAUGCAGGAGACCCUGGUUUGAUUCCCGGC